UACGGAGGGUGCAAGCGUUGUCCGGAUUUAUUGGGUUUCAAGGGUGCGUAGGCGGUUUGGUAAGUCGGCGAUGAAAGCCCGGGGCUCAACCCCGGAACUGUCGUCGAUACUGUCGAACUUGAGUACGGUUGAGGCUGGCGGAAUGGGCGGUGUAGCGGUGAAAUGCAUAGAUACCGUCCAGAACCCCGAUUGCGAAGGCAGCUGGCUAAGCCGUAACUGACGCUGAGGCACGAAAGCGUGGGGAGCGAACAGG
rnacentral:rRNA from 1 species